rnacentral:snoRNA from 1 species
CUGCACUGGGCAGUGACCAGCUGGUCUGCUCCUGACCUCCCUGGUCUCGCCGCAGUGCGAGAUGAAGCCCUUCUAGCAGAAGGGGCAGGCUCUCCUCGUGGGCUGUCCCUUUCGAAAGCUGGGUACAAAC